GGGUUGUGAGGUUAAGCGACUAAGCGUACACGGUGGAUGCCCUGGCAGUCAGAGGCGAUGAAGGACGUGCUAAUCUGCGAAAAGCGCCGGCGAGGUGAUAUGAACCCUUGACCCGGCGAUGUCCGAAUGGGGAAACCCAGUGUGUUCCGACACACUAUCGUUAACUGAAUACAUAGGUUAACGAGGCGAACCGGGGGAACUGAAACAUCUAAGUACCCCGAGGAAAAGAAAUCAACCGAGAUUCCCCCAGUAGCGGCGAGCGAACGGGGAGCAGCCCGGAGUCUGAAUCAGCUUGUGUGUUAGUGGAACGGUCUGGAAAGUCCGACGGUACAGGGUGAUAGUCCCGUACACGAAAAUGCACAUGCUGUGAACUCGAAGAGUAGGGCGGGACACGUGGUAUCCUGUCUGAAUAUGGGGGGACCAUCCUCCAAGGCUAAAUACUCCUGACUGACCGAUAGUGAACCAGUACCGUGAGGGAAAGGCGAAAAGAACCCCGGCGAGGGGAGUGAAAAAGAACCUGAAACCGUGUACGUACAAGCAGUGGGAGCCUCUUUAUGGGGUGACUGCGUACCUUUUGUAUAAUGGGUCAGCGACUUAUAUUCUGUAGCAAGGUUAACCGUAUAGGGGAGCCGAAGGGAAACCGAGUCUUAACUGGGCGUUAAGUUGCAGGGUAUAGACCCGAAACCCGGUGAUCUAGCCAUGGGCAGGUUGAAGGUUGGGUAACACUAACUGGAGGACCGAACCGACUAAUGUUGAAAAAUUAGCGGAUGACCUGUGGCUGGGGGUGAAAGGCCAAUCAAACCGGGAGAUAGCUGGUUCUCCCCGAAAGCUAUUUAGGUAGCGCCUCGUGAACUCAUCUUCGGGGGUAGAGCACUGUUUCGGCUAGGGGGCCAUCCCGGCUUACCAACCCGAUGCAAACUACGAAUACCGAAGAAUGUUAUCACGGGAGACACACGGCGGGUGCUAACGUCCGUCGUGAAGAGGGAAACAACCCAGACCGCCAGCUAAGGUCCCAAAGUCAUGGUUAAGUGGGAAACGAUGUGGGAAGGCACAGACAGCCAGGAUGUUGGCUUAGAAGCAGCCAUCAUUUAAAGAAAGCGUAAUAGCUCACUGGUCGAGUCGGCCUGCGCGGAAGAUGUAACGGGGCUAAACCAUGCACCGAAGCUGCGGCAGCGACGCUUAUGUGUUGUUGGGUAGGGGAGCGUUCUGUAAGCCGUUGAAGGUGUGCUGUGAGGCAUGCUGGAGGUAUCAGAAGUGCGAAUGCUGACAUAAGUAACGAUAAAGCGGGUGAAAAGCCCGCUCGCCGGAAGACCAAGGGUUCCUGUCCAACGUUAAUCGGGGCAGGGUGAGUCGACCCCUAAGGCGAGGCCGAAAGGCGUAGUCGAUGGGAAACAGGUUAAUAUUCCUGUACUUGGUGUUACUGCGAAGGGGGGACGGAGAAGGCUAUGUCAGCCGGGCGACGGUUGUCCCGGUUUAAGCAUGUAGGCGGAGGUUCCAGGUAAAUCCGGUACCUUAUUAACGCUGAGGUGUGAUGACGAGGCACUACGGUGCUGAAGUGAUAAAUGCCCUGCUUCCAGGAAAAGCCUCUAAGCAUCAGGUAACACGAAAUCGUACCCCAAACCGACACAGGUGGUCAGGUAGAGAAUACCAAGGCGCUUGAGAGAACUCGGGUGAAGGAACUAGGCAAAAUGGUGCCGUAACUUCGGGAGAAGGCACGCUGAUAUGUAGGUGAAGCCCCUGCGGGCGGAGCUGAAAUCAGUCGAAGAUACCAGCUGGCUGCAACUGUUUAUUAAAAACACAGCACUGUGCAAACACGAAAGUGGACGUAUACGGUGUGACGCCUGCCCGGUGCCGGAAGGUUAAUUGAUGGGGUUAGCGGCAACGCGAAGCUCUUGAUCGAAGCCCCGGUAAACGGCGGCCGUAACUAUAACGGUCCUAAGGUAGCGAAAUUCCUUGUCGGGUAAGUUCCGACCUGCACGAAUGGCGUAAUGAUGGCCAGGCUGUCUCCACCCGAGACUCAGUGAAAUUGAACUCGCUGUGAAGAUGCAGUGUACCCGCGGCAAGACGGAAAGACCCCGUGAACCUUUACUAUAGCUUGACACUGAACACUGGUCCUUGAUGUGUAGGAUAGGUGGGAGGCUUUGAAGCGUGGACGCCAGUCUGCGUGGAGCC
rnacentral:rRNA from 1 species